GGGCCUGUGGUCUAGUGGCUAUGAUCCCGCCUCGACAUGGCGGUGGUCGGGAGUUCGAGUCUCCCCAGGCCCA
rnacentral:tRNA from 1 species